rnacentral:piRNA from 1 species
UAAAUGUAGGUAACGGGGUCUUG